CUGCUGAAUCACUUAUUUAUCGGUGUUGAUUCUUAUUCAGGCAUAUCCGGCCCAGUCGUUGUUAAACAUAUCAUUGAUGGUAAUGAUGCUUUGCUCGUGCCACGCCUGAAUCUCAAGGGGUAUAUUCAUGGGUGCCCCAGAACUGAUUCAACCAUUAACGAUAAUUCAAAGAUAAUAUAUUCUCA